UACGUAGGGGGCAAGCGUUGUCCGGAUUUAUUGGGCGUAAAGAGCGUGUAGGCGGUCUGGUAGGUCCGUUGUGAAAACUCGAGGCUCAACCUCGAGACGCCGAUGGAAACCAUCAGACUAGAGUCCGGAAGAGGAGAGUGGAAUUCCUGGUGUAGCGGUGAAAUGCGCAGAUAUCAGGAAGAACACCCGUGGCUAAGGCGGCUCUCUGGGACGGUACUGACGCUGAGACGCGAAAGCGUGGGGAGCGAACAGG
rnacentral:rRNA from 1 species